rnacentral:rRNA from 1 species
AUUGAACGCUGGCGGCAUGCUUUACACAUGCAAGUCGAACGGCAGCGCGGGCUUCGGCCUGGCGGCGAGUGGCGAACGGGUGAGUAAUAUAUCGGAACGUACCCAAGAGUGGGGAUAACGUAGCGAAAGUUACGCUAAUACCGCAUACGAUCUAAGGAUGAAAGCAGGGGAUCGCAAGACCUUGUGCUCCUGGAGCGGCCGAUAUCUGAUUAGCUAGUUGGUGAGGUAAAGGCUCACCAAGGCAACGAUCAGUAGCUGGUCUGAGAGGACGACCAGCCACACUGGAACUGAGACACGGUCCAGACUCCUACGGGAGGCAGCAGUGGGGAAUUUUGGACAAUGGGGGCAACCCUGAUCCAGCAAUGCCGCGUGAGUGAAGAAGGCCUC